CGGGAAUCAAAGCUGUAAUUUGGUCCCCAGGUUUUUUUGUGUUUUUUUGGGGGCUUGUUAGCCGAACCUUUUUCCAUGUUUCCCAUUCCGUACCUCUCCGAGGGGCACAGAGCACCUAUCUCCGAGACUAGUGUUUGUUCUCAACAUGCGAUCCUGCCUUAGCCGUUAGUUAUGCUUUGGGUUCGGAGCCUGUGCUGCCGAUGUUUGGCGUUUUGUCGUCCCCGUUAAUUUAUUAUGUGCUAAUUUGAUAUGUGUUCCCUUUUAU